AUGGGAAAUACCCUACCUUUGACCGAUAUGCCCUUAGGCACGGCCAUGCAUAACAUAGAAAUCACACGUGGAAGGGGUGGGCAAUUAGCUAGAGCAGCAGGUGCUGUAGCGAAACUCAUUGCAAAAGAGGGUAAAUCGGCCACUUUAAGAUUACCAUCUGGGGAGGUCCGUUUAGUAUCCCAAAACUGCUUAGCAACAGUCGGACAAGUGGGUAAUGUUGGGGUGAACCAAAAAAGUUUGGGUAGAGCCGGAUCUAAGUGUUGGCUAGGUAAACGCCCCGUAGUAAGAGGGGUAGUUAUGAACCCUGUGGACCACCCCCAUGGGGGCGGUGAAGGGAAAGCUCCCAUUGGUAGAAAAAAACCCACAACCCCUUGGGGUUAUCCUGUGCUUGGAAGAAGAACUAGGAAAAGGAAAAAAUAUAGCGAUAGUUUUAUUCUUCGUCGCCGUAAGUAA
rnacentral:rRNA from 1 species